GUAUUGAAUGCUUGUUGGAUACUUGUUAUAUAUGAGCCUUGGAGAUGAGAGAGAGCCAGGUGUGAGGCUCCCCCCCAUUGGUGGGCAGAGUGGAGGUUGACAUUGUUUCAUCUUUUAGUCCCAAGUCAGGCCUUGGAGCUUGUAAUCAAGGAACCAACAGAGGCUAUUUCGGUGAUACAUGGAGACCCGUAUCAUCUGCCGAGUCAGGCGAGGUAUGAUACGGGCUCCGAGGCGCCAGGCGGUAGGUAUGAUACUUCUUUCGAGAUGUCAGAUGGUGGUCAAUUCCCCUUCUCUCUCUAGGACCGAUCAAGUUAGAGCUCGCCGGAGGCAAGCUCGUCCUCCUUAACAAACCCCUUGCUCUAGCCUCCAAACCACAUUCCUCCUUAGGUCCUGAGCGAAGUACCUAAGCCCUGCUCCCGGCCUAGGAUAGUGUAUAGAGUCGCCUUUAAGUAUUCCGGAGUCUUCGAAGUGUUGAGUAGGAGGUGAGGUACCCGGAGGUGACCUCACUCCUCCAUGGGUGGGGAGUUCCUGGAGGAGGCCUUGCUUCUCCGGAUGCGGAGUUUGUGGAGGAAGCUUGCUUCGGCGGAGGCAAGGUUCGUGGAGGAGGUAUUGCUCCUCCGAAGACAUAGUUUGUGGAGGAAGUCUCCUCCUGGGCGGAAUGUAUAAUUUGUAGAAAGCUUCACUUUGGCGGAGGCAAGGUUCGUUGAGGAAGCCUUGCUCCGCCGGAGGUGAGUAUCAUGGAGGAAGCCUUGCUUCUCCCGAAGGUGAGGAUCGUGGAGGAAGGCUUGCUCCUCCUGGGAUUGGAUCUUGUGGAGGAGGCCUGCUCCUCCUAGAGGUAGAUCUUGCAGAGGAGGCCUGCUCCUCCUAGAGGUGGUCAUCGGCGGGGUUCUUGGAGAAGGUGCAUCUGGUUGCGGGAUAUAUUGUAUACCCACACCUCACAUAUCUUUUGAAAGAUGAUGAAAAGUUGUGAGCUAAAUGCAUAGAACCUUAAACAUAAAUGAA